UGAUCUAAAUGGGAACAACCUGACGACCAUCAGCAAGACAGACUUCUCUGGCCUCAAACACCUCAGAGUUCUUCACCUGAUGGAGAACCAGAUAAGCAACAUUGAGAGAGGAGCAUUUGAUGAUCUGAAGGAACUGGAGAGACUUCGCCUGAACAGGAACCGUCUCACUCAGCUCCCUGAACUCCUGUUCCAGAAGAAUGAGGCUCUGGCUCGACUG